AUGGGUACCGGCAACUGUUUGGUUACCAACAUUCUUCAAAAUACCUUCUUUUGUGUUCAACAGAAGAAACAAACUCGUAGAGGUUUGGAACAACUUGAGGGAGAGUUAAUGAUGCAGAUGAAUGUCCCCUUGUUCUUGUCUCAUCUUCUCUCUCUGUGUGAUCCGUGUGUGCUGGGGCAGAUUUUCCCGGAGCCAUCGGAGCAGCUGGAGCCGGGGCAGGUGAAGGAGCGUCUGCCCUCCAUCGUGGUGGAGCCGUCGGAGGAGAGCGAGGAGGAGAGCGGAGGACUGCAGUGGCCUACUCUUCACACACAGACCUCCGUCAGUGAGGAGGAGGAGGAGGAAGACCCUUUCCAGGAUAACUGUGAGCCCAACAGAGCCGGUCAGGGGGAGCAGAUCAAUGCAGACGGAGUUCCUCAUUUUAAACGUUCGUCGAUUCCUGGUAUUCAGAUCGAGUACAGCAGACUGACUCCGCCCCCUUCGCCGACGUCAUCACACGCGGCCCCGCCCCGUUUCCGCAACUGAGCACAAACACCAAAAUCAUCAUCAGCAUAGCACUGCAUUUACACUCAUUCAUCAUAACUGAAGCAUUCAAAUUUAGGAUUAUUUUCAUUUACCUUUUUUCAAGGUUUAACUUUGAAAUAUCUGUCUCAAAGUCAUUAUGUUGACACAAAUGCGAAUUUUGAGCGGGUACCAAAUAGUAAAUUACACUCAUUAAACUGUAGAGGGCUCCAAAGUCACCAAAAAUAGGCAAAACUACAUACAGUUGUUUUAAAUGAAAUGUUUCUAGAUUUUGAAAAAUGAUGAGAAAUCUCUUAGUUUAUGCUGUGUUUCUCAUUGACUAAUCACAUGUAAGUAAAUGAGUGUCACUGAUCAUGAGACGCUCAGAUUGAAGACUCUUUGGAUCAUCUCAGGUCACGAUGAUCAUCAGCUUUAGUUCACGAAGCUCCAGACACCAAAUACUUUCUCACAUUCAUGAAUAUUUCUCGCAGACUGUAAUAUAUAUUGCAUAGAAACAUGCAAAACUAGUUCAAACAGUAGAGCGUGUGCUUGCAACACCAAGCUCAGGGGUUAGAUUCCCAGGAAAAGCAUGAUCAAAAGAUUAAACGUAAACUUCCAGUGCAGUGGCUUUGGAUAAAAUAAUGUCUGCCAAAUGUAGAAAUAUGAAUGUAAAUUUCUCUAGUGGUGUAAGAUGUACAUUAUGAAUCUGUUGACUGAAAGCGUGAUGCACAUUCAGAUAUAUGUAUGAAUAACUGCAGAUGAUAAUGACUGUUAGAAUCACAGUCUGCCUUGAUAUUUAACCACAAUAUUGGAGUUGUAGAUGAUAUAGUAUCACACCACAUCUGUGUCCCUUCAGCACAGAAGCAGUCAUCAGUAGCACAGGUAUAUUUGUAGCAAUAGUCAACAAUACAUUGUAUGGGUCACAAUUAUACAUUUUUCUUUUAUGCCAAAAAUCAUUAGGAUAUUAAACAAAGAUCAUGUUCCUUGAAGAUAUUUAGUAAAUGUCCUACCGUAAAUAUAUCAAAACUUAAUUUUUGAUUAGUAAUAUGCAUUGCUAAGAACUUCAUUUGAACAACUUUAAAGAUGAUUUUCUCAAUAUUUAGAUUUUUUUGCUCCCUCAGAUUCCAGAUUUUCAAAUAGUUGUAUCUCAGACAAAUAUUGUACUUUUAUUUGCACACAGCACUUUCUGUAUGGUGCAGAGAAUGUCUUGUGCGCAAUAAAACCCAUUUUAAUGUCUGAUGCUGGAUUUGU
ensembl:lncRNA